rnacentral:lncRNA from 1 species
GUUGUGAAGUUUCCGGGCUGUUCUGUCCCUUCUGUUUCUUGACUCUGAGUGGCCUGAGUUGUCGAAGGCUUUCAUGUCCGGAAUUGCUGAGUUACUAACUGGACCAGUAGAAAUAAUGAUCAAUGGAAACCAAGGCAGCUGAAACAGCCACGAUCAAGAUGAUUGCAUCUUUCACAACUGAAUCUGAAAUUAGAGAUCCUUAUGGUUACAGACCUGCUCUCCAAUGCAUGUAUUUGCUGAAGUCCACUUGUCGAUGCAUGUCCAGAAUCAGCAGCAUCCACCGCGGUACUUUUUAUCUUGGGCGAUAACUGAGCCAGUACAGACUUCGUUUUGGUUUGUUUCUCCAUAGUGCUAAUGGGUUAGGUGCUCUUAGUUCCACUCCUCAACUGAGACUUCUCAGGCUUGGUUGGACCUGCCAGUAGUUACACAACUGUCAGCAGAGCUCUCAGUGUCCUUGGAGC